UACGGGGGGGGCAAGCGUUGUUCGGAAUUACUGGGCGUAAAGGGCUCGUAGGCGGCCAACUAAGUCAGACGUGAAAUCCCUCGGCUUAACCGGGGAACUGCGUCUGAUACUGGAUGGCUUGAGUUUGGGAGAGGGAUGCGGAAUUCCAGGUGUAGCGGUGAAAUGCGUAGAUAUCUGGAGGAACACCGGUGGCGAAGGCGGCAUCCUGGACCGGUAUUGACGCUGAGUGAGCGAAAGCCAGGGGAGCAAACGGG
rnacentral:rRNA from 1 species